CUCAAACUCCUGACCUGAAGCAAUCCUCUCAUCUUGGCCUCCCAAAGCACUGGAUUAUUGGUAUAACAUCUCACUAUGAUGGAUCAAAAGAUGUUGUCUAAGUUGUUUGUCAGGAAAUGAAGACUCAGCCUUGAACCUAGCUCAAACCAGUUGAGACCACCAAGCCUUCAAUGUGGGCAUAUAUUCUAAAAGGAAUCUUCCAAUCAGUCUUGUAGCAAUGAGUAAAGUGAAGAUAGAUCACAAUGCUAGGGAAUAAAAUGGAUGAUGCACUUCAGCCAGAAGAUAAGCAAUGCCAAAGAAUGAAAUGGGAUAAGAUCGUCAAAGAAAGUUCUGAAAAAAUUGAUUACAGGAAUGCUCACAUUGGCUUAUUCCAUGCCACUAUUGUAGUGGAUGGUGUCUGGCCUCAGAACACUAUACACCAAAAUACGGCAUCUUGACAGCUGAGAAAACCACAGCAGCAAGGUCACUCUGACCUUUUCCCAUAUUUCUUCCCAAAGGAUGCUCAUAAAGAAAUUCUCUGACCUACCUUGCCUGAAACUAGGUCGUAAGAUCCUCAUUCCAGAGAAAUCCUGUACUAUACCUGGAGGCCAAGAAGAAUCUGAACAGUUUCCCCAGUAUAUUACCUUCAGGAUAACUUAGCAAAAACGUCCUCACCAGAUGCAGACUCCUUGACCUUGGACUUCUCAGCCUUCAGAACUUUUGAAAUUUCUGUGUCUUGGAGAUCUUCCUCUACUACCUUAUAUGGUGGGGAAAAGAGACCCUCAGUCAAAUUCUUUCUUCUGAGGAGGCAUGGACAGAAGUUGCUACGAACCCGUAAGGAUAGGCCACCAGUAACACAGAAUAACUCUGAUCUCCUCCACCGUUAACCUAUUCAUCCCAGUUUCUCAUCUUGCUCUCAAGAUACUUCUCUCUGAUGGUAAGUAAAUCUGCAUUUCUCAUAACAUACUAAAGGUUGAAAUUAAUCUUACUAGACAUCCCCUCACUUAAUUCCCCUCACUUUAAAUCUGUUCCACAUCCUAACUUUAACAAUUGCACUGAGUUCCAUCCAGUCACCUAACUCAGAGAUCUAGAACUUUUCCCUUUCCCUCAGGCCCCCAAACUUGGGUUCACUAUUUCAAUAGAUACACAAACUCCAAUUCCUGCCUCAACAGUUAC
rnacentral:lncRNA from 10 species